GUCUAUAGCUGUACCAUCCGGAAUGUGUCCAAUCUCAAAAACUAAGCAGGGUCAGGCCUCAUUAAUACUUGGAUGGGAGAACAUCUGAGAAUACCAGAUGCUGUAGACU
rnacentral:rRNA from 1 species